CACGGGGGGAGCAAGCGUUGUUCGGAAUCACUGGGCGUAAAGCGCGCGUAGGCGGUUACUUAAGUCGGAUGUGAAAGCCCUCGGCUUAACUGAGGAAGUGCACCCGAAACUGAGUAGCUAGAGUACGAAAGAGGGUCGCGGAAUUCCCGGUGUAGAGGUGAAAUUCGUAGAUAUCGGGAGGAACACCGGUGGCGAAGGCGGCGACCUGGGUCGAGACUGACGCUGAGGCGCGAAAGCGUGGGGAGCAAACAGG
rnacentral:rRNA from 1 species